rnacentral:rRNA from 1 species
GACGAACGCUGGCGGCGUGCCUAAUACAUGCAAGUAGAACGCACAGUUUAUACCGUAGCUUGCUACACCAUAGACUGUGAGUUGCGAACGGGUGAGUAACGCGUAGGUAACCUGCCUGGUAGCGGGGGAUAACUAUUGGAAACGAUAGCUAAUACCGCAUAAUAUUAAUUAUUGCAUGAUAAUUAAUUGAAAGGUGCAAUUGCACCACUACCAGAUGGACCUGCGUUGUAUUAGCUAGUAGGUGAGGUAACGGCUCACCUAGGCGACGAUACAUAGCCGACCUGAGAGGGUGAUCGGCCACACUGGGACUGAGACACGGCCCAGACUCCUACGGGAGGCAGCAGUAGGGAAUCUUCGGCAAUGGACGAAAGUCUGACCGAGCAACGCCGCGUGAGUGAAGAAGGUUUUCGGAUCGUAAAGCUCUGUUGUAAGAGAAGAACGGGUGUGAGAGUGGAAAGUUCACACUGUGACGGUAUCUUACCAGAAAGGGACGGCUAACUACGUGCCAGCAGCCGCGGUAAUACGUAGGUCCCGAGCGUUGUCCGGAUUUAUUGGGCGUAAAGCGAGCGCAGGCGGUUAGAUAAGUCUGAAGUUAAAGGCUGUGGCUUAACCAUAGUACGCUUUGGAAACUGUUUAACUUGAGUGCAGAAGGGGAGAGUGGAAUUCCAUGUGUAGCGGUGAAAUGCGUAGAUAUAUGGAGGAACACCGGUGGCGAAAGCGGCUCUCUGGUCUGUAACUGACGCUGAGGCUCGAAAACGUGGGGAGCGAACAGG